rnacentral:rRNA from 1 species
UGCGUAGGCGGGCUAAUAAGUCAGUGGUGAAAUCUUUCGGCUCAACCGAGAAACUGCCAUUGAUACUGUUAAUCUUGAGUUCGGUUGAGGUAGGCGGAAUGUGUAAUGUAGCGGUGAAAUGCUUAGAUAUUACACAGAACACCAAUUGCGUAGGCAGCUUACUAGACCGACACUGACGCUGAGGCACGAAAGCGUGGGGAGCGAACAGGAUUAGAUACCCUGGUAGUCCC